CGGCGGAUCUCUAGAGGUCUCGCUCGCAGCUAUUUAAUGCGCGGAAACGAGUCCGAUCCCUCAACAAAAAACCAAUAGGAAAACGAAGCAGGCAAGAGAGAGAGAGAGGUCGAUCUCGCCAGGAAGAUCUUCACCUUCACCUUCACCUUCAAUUCCUCUAGCUGCUCUCCAGCUUCUGCAAUCAUGACGACAUCGAGGCGUUUCGCGGAUCGGAAGGUGGAUAGGUUUGAGAAGAACAUCACGAAGAGAGGAGCUGUUCCUGAGACGACCGUCAAGAAGGGACAGGACUACCCUGUGGGACCUAUCUUGCUCGGGUUCUUCAUAUUUGUGGUCAUUGGCUCAUGUGGCAACACCUCUUCUGUCCGGUCAACUAGUUUUCACAGGCUGAGCUGAUGAUGUUUGAGGAAAA